rnacentral:rRNA from 1 species
CCCUUAGAUGUCCUGGGCCGCACGCGCGCUACACUGAGUGUCUGAGAUACGAGUCUGCCUGGUCCGGCAAGGUCUAGGUAAUCGCUAAAAGACACAUCAUGCUUGGGAUAGAUUAUUGCAAAUAUUAAUCUUGAACGAGGAAUUCCUAGUAAGCGCAAGUCAACAGCUUGCGUUGAUUACGUCCCUGCCCUUUGUACACACCGCCCGUCGCUACUACUGAUUGGAUGUUUAAGCGAGGUUCUCGAACUGCUAGCGACUUAGCUUCGGUGAGGUCGCAGUGUGGGAAGUGAACCUAGCUUUGGUGUCUAGAGGAAGUAAAAGUCAUAACA